rnacentral:tRNA from 1 species
GCAGGUGUGGUUCAAUGGUUAGAAUAUAACCUUGCCAAGGUUGGGAUGGGAGUUCGAUUCUCCUCACUUGCU